CGGGGACUUACUNGCCUCGAAUGAUCAGAGGGUUUAAUGANCAUGGCUCAGGAUGNCCGCUAGUUAAGUGCUAAUGCAUGCAAGUCGAACGGGAGGGGUUAAUUUCGGUUGACCCCGAGAGUGGCGAACGGGUGCGUAACACGUAGAUGACCUACCCUGGAGAGGGGGACAACCACGGGAAACUGUGGCUAAUACCCCGGAUGACUGGAGGAUUAAAGCCUCUGGUCUAAAGGCUCCGGCGCUCUGGGAGGGGUCUGCGGCCAUCAGCUAGUUGGUAGGGUAAAGGCCUACCAAGGCGAAGACGGGUAGGGGGCGUGAGAGCGUGGCCCCCCACACUGGUACUGAAAGACGGACCAGAUACCUACGGGUAGCAGCAGCAAGGGAUAUUGCGCAAUGGGCGAAAGCCUGACGCAGCAACGCCGCGUGGAGGACGAAGGCCUUCGGGUUGUAAACUCCUUUUCUGGAAGAAAUAAGGCUUGUCAAAGGGCAGGCUUGCAGGUACUCCAGGAAGAAGAACCGGCUAACUACGUGCCAGCAGCCGCGGUAAAAACGUAGCGGUUCGAGCGUUGUCCGGAAUAUACUGGGCGUAAAGGGCGUGUAGGCGGCUUAGGAAGGUCGGGACGUUACACACAGCUCCCCGGACCCCAAACUUGGGCAGAAGGGGCCCCGGUUUUCGGAAGGCAACUNCUUUUGGAAGGCCUUAAGAAAGGGGCCUUUAAAGGUUUAACAGGA
rnacentral:rRNA from 1 species